rnacentral:rRNA from 1 species
UACGAAGGGGGCUAGCGUUGCUCGGAAUCACUGGGCGUAAAGGGUGCGUAGGCGGGUCUUUAAGUCAGGGGUGAAAUCCUAGAGCUCAACUCCAGAACUGCCUUUGAUACUGAGGAUCUUGAGUACGGGAGAGGUGAGUGGAACUGCGAGUGUAGAGGUGAAAUUCGUAGAUAUUCGCAAGAACACCGGUGGCGAAGGCGGCGGCCUGGUCCGAUACUGACGCUGAGGCGCGAAAGCGUGGGGAGCAAACAGG